UUUCCGUAGGUGAACCUGCGGAAGGAUCAUUAUUGUAUAACCGAGGUCCGAGGGCUGUCGCUGACCCUAAGGGUCGUGCACGCCUGAUUGCCCUCACACACUUCCAUCACACCCUAUGUGCACCACCGCGCGGGUCCCCCUUUGGCUUGUUCGGAGGGGGGCUUACGUUUUCACACAAACUUUUUAUGAAGUGUAGAAUGUAUUUUUUGUUUUUGCGUUCACGCAAUCAAUACAACUUUCAACAACGGAUCUCUUGGCUCUC
rnacentral:misc_RNA from 1 species